GUGGUUGUGGCUCAGCGGUAGAGGGCUCAUCUCGCAGGCGUGGGACCCUGAGUUGGAUCCUCAGAACCACA
rnacentral:tRNA from 1 species